rnacentral:rRNA from 1 species
CCUAAAAGGUAACGGAGGCGCUCAAAGGUUCCCUCAGAAUGGUUGGAAAUCAUUCAUAGAGUGUAAAGGCAUAAGGGAGCUUGACUGCGAGACCUACAAGUCGAGCAGGGUCGAAAGACGGACUUAGUGAUCCGGUGGUUCCGCAUGGAAGGGCCAUCGCUCAACGGAUAAAAGCUACCCCGGGGAUAACAGGCUUAUCUCCCCCAAGAGUUCACAUCGACGGGGAGGUUUGGCACCUCGAUGUCGGCUCAUCGCAUCCUGGGGCUGUAGUCGGUCCCAAGGGUUGGGCUGUUCGCCCAUUAAAGCGGUACGCGAGCUGGGUUCAGAACGUCGUGAGACAGUUCGGUCCCUAUCCGUCGUGGGCGUAGGAAAUUUGAGAGGAGCUGUCCUUAGUACGAGAGGACCGGGAUGGACAUACCUCUGGUGUACCAGUUGUCGUGCCAACGGCAUAGCUGGGUAGCUAUGUGUGGACGGGAUAAGUGCUGAAAGCAUCUAAGCAUGAAGCCCCCCUCAAGAUGAGAUUUCCCAACUUCGGUUAUAAGAUCCCUCAAAGAUGAUGAGGUUAAUAGG